rnacentral:rRNA from 1 species
UGCGUAGGCGGUCGGGUAAGUCUGACGUGAAAUCUUCAAGCUCAACUUGGAAACUGCGUCGGAUACUAUUCGGCUAGAGGAAUGGAGGGGAGACUGGAAUACUUGGUGUAGCAGUGAAAUGCGUAGAUAUCAAGUGGAACACCAGUGGCGAAGGCGAGUCUCUGGACAUUUCCUGACGCUGAGGCAAAGCCAGGGGAGCGAAACG